UUGUCUCAAAGAUUAAGCCAUGCAUGUCUCAGUACAAGCCAAAUUAAGGUGAAACCGCGAAAGGCUCAUUAAAUCAGUUAUGGUUCCUUAGAUCGUACCCACACUUACUUGGAUAACUGUGGUAAUUCUAGAGCUAAUACAUGCAAACAGAGCUCCGACCGGAGACGGAAGGAGUGCUUUUAUUAGAUCAAAACCAAUCGGUGGCGGGUUCGCGCUCGUCAUCGUUCAACUUGGUGACUCUGAAUAACUUUACGCUGAUCGCACGGUCAUCGCACCGGCGACGCAUCUUUCAAAUGUCUGCCUUAUCAACUGUCGAUGGUAGGUUCUGCGCCUACCAUGGUCGUAACGGGUAACGGGGAAUCAGGGUUCGAUUCCGGAGAGGGAGCCUGAGAAACGGCUACCACAUCCAAGGAAGGCAGCAGGCGCGCAAAUUACCCACUCCCGGCACGGGGAGGUAGUGACGAAAAAUAACGAUACGGGACUCAUCCGAGGCCCCGUAAUCGGAAUGAGUACACUCUAAAUCCUUUAACGAGGAUCAAUUGGAGGGCAAGUCUGGUGCCAGCAGCCGCGGUAAUUCCAGCUCCAAUAGCGUAUAUUAAAGUUGUUGCGGUUAAAAAGCUCGUAGUCGAAUUUGUGUCUCGCGCCGCCGGUUCAUCGUCCGCGGUGUUAACUGGCGAGUCGCGAGACGUCCUGCCGGUGGGCUUAGCUCGCAAGGGCGGCCCAACUCAAUCCUGCCGCGGUGCUCUUCAUUGAGUGUCGAGGUGGGCCGGCACGUUUACUUUGAACAAAUUAGAGUGCUUAAAGCAGGCUAAAACUUCGCCUGAAUACUGUGUGCAUGGAAUAAUGGAAUAGGACCUCGGUUCUAUUUUGUUGGUUUUCGGAACCCCGAGGUAAUGAUUAAUAGGAACGGAUGGGGGCAUUCGUAUUGCGACGUUAGAGGUGAAAUUCUUGGAUCGUCGCAAGACGGACAGAAGCGAAAGCAUUUGCCAAAAACGCUUUCAUUGAUCAAGAACGAAAGUUAGAGGUUCGAAGGCGAUCAGAUACCGCCCUAGUUCUAACCAUAAACGAUGCCAGCUAGCGAUCCGUCGACGUUCCUCCGAUGACUCGACGGGCAGCUUCCGGGAAACCAAAGCUUUUGGGUUCCGGGGGAAGUAUGGUUGCAAAGCUGAAACUUAAAGGAAUUGACGGAAGGGCACCACCAGGAGUGGAGCCUGCGGCUUAAUUUGACUCAACACGGGAAACCUCACCAGGCCCGGACACCGGAAGGAUUGACAGAUUGAGAGCUCUUUCUUGAUUCGGUGGGUGGUGGUGCAUGGCCGUUCUUAGUUGGUGGAGCGAUUUGUCUGGUUAAUUCCGAUAACGAACGAGACUCUAGCCUGCUAACUAGGCGUAUUUUGACAUCCUAAAGGCCCGCCGGCACUUUCGGGGUUCGCCUCGUAGUGUCGCGCGCGGUUUUUACUGUCGGCGUACAAACAAUUCUUCUUAGAGGGACAGGCGGCUUCUAGCCGCACGAGAUUGAGCAAUAACAGGUCUGUGAUGCCCUUAGAUGUUCUGGGCCGCACGCGCGCUACACUGAAGGAAUCAGCGUGUCCUCCCUGGCCGAGCGGCCCGGGUAACCCGCUGAACCUCCUUCGUGCUAGGGAUUGGGGCUUGCAAUUGUUCCCCAUGAACGAGGAAUUCCCAGUAAGCGCGAGUCAUAAGCUCGCGUUGAUUACGUCCCUGCCCUUUGUACACACCGCCCGUCGCUACUACCGAUUGAAUGAUUUAGUGAGGUCUUCGGACCGAUGCGCGACGGCGUUUCGGCGUCUCGAUGCGUCUGGGAAGAUGACCAAACUUGAUCAUUU
rnacentral:rRNA from 1 species